ACUCUGGAGUGAAGAUGAAGAAUCAAUUGUAUUGGAUCCAGAUAACGAGCUGUGGGGUGGGGUUUCUUUGAUAAGCAACCUCAUAAUAAGGCCAAAUGCUCCAUGUGUGAUGAACGGCUUAGGCGGGAUGCACUGUACAAACAUUUGGAAGAAAAACAUUCUAAAAUCUCCGAGUGCAACCUAGAGAUGACGUUAAGUAUAUUGAACCGAAUAAAAACCAAAGUAAGGACGAUGUGGAAAUUGAAACUUUGGAAAAUAUAUCACAGGAUUACUGAAAGGUGUACCUAGGGCAGCGAGUUCAAAGCUACAAAUGGAAAUUGUGACGUUGAUUAUGAAUACAAAAA